UACGUAGGGUGCAAGCGUUGUCCGGAAUUAUUGGGCGUAAAGAGCUCGUAGGCGGUCUGUCGCGUCUGCUGUGAAAACUCAGGGCUUAACCCUGAGCUUGCAGUGGGUACGGGCAGACUAGAGUGCGGUAGGGGAGACUGGAAUUCCUGGUGUAGCGGUGAAAUGCGCAGAUAUCAGGAGGAACACCGGUGGGCGAAGGCGGG
rnacentral:rRNA from 1 species